UUAUCCAUCUUCUUCUCUCCGCUGAAGCUUCUCUUCCUCCACUCUGCAACCCUCAAGCUUGGUUUCCUCUUCUUUCUGCUUCUUUGGUUGCAUCCAAUGGCUAACGAAAUCAAAGAAAUAAAGCAUUCCAGACUCAGUUGUUGAUUAAGCUUACAGAUAUGGCCUUUGCAACUACCAGACUAUCGGAGCUGCCAUUGAAGAACUCGCUUCCACUCUUCUCCCACUCGCGUACUCUUCUUUCAACCCCCAAUUUGUCUUUGCAGAUUCUAAAGACAUUCUCUUCUCUCAGAACCCCUAAAACCACUGAGCACAGCGGCAAGAGAAUCCCUAAAACUUCCCACAAUUCUGGACCCUCUUCUUCUUGGAUCUCCAAAUGGCCUCCUGGGAGCUCUCGUAAUGAUCGUAAAGUCGAGAAGAAUUUGGCCGAAACAACCCGAGAUGAUCGAACUGAUCGAGCGGAGAAUCAGACGCAAUUCUUCGAUAAGAACGGAGGGGAGAGUGCAGUUGAUCGAAUUGUGCUUCGCUUACGAAAUUUAGGGUUAGAGGAGGAUAACGAAUUGGAUUCUCUCGAGCCAAUGCCCGUGAUGGGGGAGGAAAGAUUUGGGGAUUUACUUCAACGUGAAUGGAUUCGACCGGAUACCAUAUUGGAUGAAAUGGUUCUACCAUGGGAGAGAGAGGAGGAAAGGGCUGAAGAGGAGGGCGGUGGAAGAGGGUUGAAAAGGAGAAAGAUGAAACCUCCGACAUUAGCUGAAUUGACAAUCGAAGAUGAGGAGCUGAGGCGACUGAGGGGAAUGGGGAUGUUCAUCAGAGAACGGAUUAACAUACCGAAAGCGGGGAUUACACAGCCAGUGCUAGAGAAGAUUCAUGGGAAAUGGAGGAAGGAGGAACUUGUAAGGCUUAAGUUUCACGAGGAGCUUGCACACGACAUGAAGACAGCGCACCAAAUUGUAGAGCGAAGAACUGGAGGAUUGGUUCUGUGGAGGUCUGGAAGUGUUAUGGUAGUUUACCGCGGUAGUAACUAUGAAGCGCCAUCAAAAACUAAGCCCCUUGCAAGGGAGGGGGAAGGGAUAUCCAUCCCAGAUGCUUCUUCUGCUGCCAUUUCAACAAUGAGUGGCAGUGUUGCGGCUUCAGCUCCAGAGACGGCCAAGAUGUCAGAGGAAGAGGUUGAAUACAACCAACUCCUAGAUGGUUUAGGUCCUCGUUUUGUUGAAUGGUGGGGCACAGGAGUGCUUCCUAUUGAUGCUGAUCAGCUUCCUCCGAGUAUUCCCGGUUACAAAACUCCUCUCAGGCUUCUCCCAACUGGAAUGCGGUCGGGACUUACCAAUGCAGAGAUGACUGAGAUGAGGAAGCUUACGAAAUCCUUGCCUUGUCAUUUUGCUCUUGGGAGAAACAGGAACCAUCAGGGCCUGGCUGUUGCUAUACUUAAGCUUUGGGAAAAGAGCCUAGUGGCUAAAAUUGCUGUUAAAAGAGGUAUACAGAAUACCAAUAAUAAACUCAUGGCUGAGGAGAUAAGGAAUUUAACAGGAGGCAUGUUACUAUUGAGGAACAAGUAUUUUAUCGUCGUAUAUCGUGGGAAGGAUUUUCUCCCAACAAGUGUAGCUGCAGCGUUGGCGGAACGGCAGGAAUUAACAAAACAGAUUCAAGACUUGGAAGAGAAAGCUCGAAGUAAAGUCGUUGAGGCUACUUCAUCAAGCGAUGAUGGACAGGCACCUGCAGGUACCUUGGCUGAAUUUUAUGAGGCUCAGUCCAGGUGGGGAAGGGAAAUAUCUGCUGAAGAGCGUCAAAAAAUGAUUGAAGAAAGCUCGAGAGCGAAAACUGCAAAACUUGUGAGACGAAUUGAACAUAAGCUAGGUGUUGCCCAAGCUAAGAAACUUAGAGCAGAAAGAUUGCUAUCUAGAAUUGAAGCGUCCAUGGUUCUUUCUGGCCCUGAUGAUGAUCAGGAAACAAUAACAGAUGAGGAACGGGUCAUGUUUCGAAAAGUUGGGUUACGAAUGACAGCAUAUCUACCCAUAGGCAUUCGUGGUGUCUUUGAUGGUGUGGUUGAAAACAUGCAUUUACACUGGAAGCAUAGGGAGCUCGUUAAGUUAAUUAGCAAGCAAAAGACACUUGCUUUUGUGGAAGAAACAGCAAGAUUGUUAGAGUAUGAGAGUGGUGGGAUACUAGUUUCGAUCGAUCGAGUUCCAAAAGGAUAUACCCUUAUUUACUAUCGAGGAAAGAAUUAUCGUCGACCCAUUGCCUUGAGGCCAAGAAACUUGCUUACGAAGGCAAAAGCAUUGAAGCGUUCGGUUGCCAUGCAGCGUCACGAGGCUCUCAGUCAGCAUAUAUCUGAACUCGAGAAAAACAUAGAGGAAAUGAAGAAAGAAAUUGGUGUCACUGAAGAUUCAGAUGAUGAGAAUAACUGGCCGUCUCAGGAUGGACUUGUCUCAGAAUCUUUCCAAGACGAGGAAGCAUCUUUGUCUGCGAUUUCAGACGAUGACAGUGAUGAAGAUAGCAAUGAUGAAGACAGUGAGUUCGAAGAGGAUAAAGAUUUUGAUUUUUCCGACUCGGAAAGCACCGAUGAUCCUCUGAACUAGGUUGGGAGAGUAUAUCCAAGUUGUGAACAGAUGGAGUGUUCUUAUUGCAAUUGCAUAUUUCAGAGUUAAACUAAGUCCAAUCCAUAACUCUGUUGAACCUCCUCACUUCGGGCCGUACCAGGUUGAACGAUGUGGAAAACGUACCACCAACCCCAGACCCGAUACCUGCCGAAGUCGACCGUGCCAUUUUCCAAUGAAAGCUGGUUUCAAAACUGUGCCUGCUGGGUAACUUAUAAGAAGCACUCAGUCAUUUGCUUCAAGUUCAAGCCAAAAUGGGUGUGAUCUAUUUUUCCCUGUGAAUCACUCAUUUUCUCGUUAGAACAGGAACAAUGGAGCAACGGAUUCCUCAAGGCUUCAUUGUUUCCUUCUCUCUUCUGCAGCUGAAGUGAAGUGCAAGAUUCAUGUAUCAAUUCAGCCAAUGAUCCAAAUUUUUUCUUCCAAGUUCUAACCAUUAUCUGGUUCUGUGCCACUUCCAAAUGGCUCCUUUUGAUAAAUUAUUGUGUAUCUGUUAUUCCUUGCUUGUAAAGAAGGUCAAUAUAGGAGGCCCCCUUAAUGUUCUUUUAACAGGAUCAUGAAGUGGGACCCUUACACAAUUGAAAGCUUCUUUGUUUGA